rnacentral:rRNA from 1 species
CGGAAAGGCCCCUUCGGGGGUACUCGAGUGGCGAACGGGUGAGUAACACGUGGGUGAUCUGCCCUGCACUUUGGGAUAAGCCUGGGAAACUGGGUCUAAUACCGAAUACACCCUUCUGAUCGCAUGGUCUGGGAGGGGAAAGCUUUUGCGGUGUGGGAUGGGCCCGCGGCCUAUCAGCUUGUUGGUGGGGUGAUGGCCUACCAAGGCGACGACGGGUAGCCGGCCUGAGAGGGUGUCCGGCCACACUGGGACUGAGAUACGGCCCAGACUCCUACGGGAGGCAGCAGUGGGGAAUAUUGCACAAUGGGCGCAAGCCUGAUGCAGCGACGCCGCGUGGGGGAUGACGGCCUUCGGGUUGUAAACCUCUUUCAGCAUCGACGAAGCGCAAGUGACGGUAGAUGCAGAAGAAGCACCGGCCAACUACGUGCCAGCAGCCGCGGUAAUACGUAGGGUGCGAGCGUUGUCCGGAAUUACUGGGCGUAAAGAGCUCGUAGGUGGUUUGUCACGUUGUUCGUGAAAACUCACAGCUUAACUGUGGGCGUGCGGGCGAUACGGGCAGACUAGAGUACUGCAGGGGAGACUGGAAUUCCUGGUGUAGCGGUGGAAUGCGCAGAUAUCAGGAGGAACACCGGUGGCGAAGGCGGGUCUCUGGGCAGUAACUGACGCUGAGGAGCGAAAGCGUGGGGAGCGAACAGGAUUAGAUACCCUGGUAGUCCACGCCGUAAACGGUGGGUACUAGGUGUGGGUUUCCUUCCUUGGGAUCCGUGCCGUAGCUAACGCAUUAAGUACCCCGCCUGGGGAGUACGGCCGCAAGGCUAAAACUCAAAGGAAUUGACGGGGGCCCGCACAAGCGGCGGAGCAUGUGGAUUAAUUCGAUGCAACGCGAAGAACCUUACCUGGGUUUGACAUGCACAGGACGC